GAGCAGGAGUUGCCGGAAAAAUUUCCGGCGAAAAGCAAGAAUCAAAGCACAAAAUCAGAGAUCUUGAUUUUCGCUAAGUUCUUCACCGGAAACCUAGUUCAAUAAUUUGUAUAUCCAAAAAACUAUGUUAUUCUUCAGCAAACAAUAGGACUUCGAAAAAUAGAGUUUACGUUGAUUGAAUUCACAGAUUUAAGGCAGAACACAAUUGAUUGGAUCAAUGGAUAUAAAUCAGCAAGAAAUAUGAUAAACUAAAACCUGAAGAAACGAAUCAGUUUGUAUUGUAAAUCAAAUGCUAUCGAUUUCCAAAAUAGUCCAAUUCAAUCAAAUUUUCUCGAGAAGUUAUUUAUUAUCAGAUUUUUCCGGUGAUCGGAAUUUGUGACGGAAUAUUGGGAACCGGCAGAGUACAAAUAAAGAGAUGAAAUUAAUUUGUUUUGGUUUCUAUUCUUGUUUCUGUAUGCAAAAUCUUGUUCGUCUUUGAUAUGAAGAAAAAGAGAUGAGAAGCCAGAGAGAGAAACAAUCUG
rnacentral:lncRNA from 1 species